rnacentral:lncRNA from 1 species
UUCAUACCAUCACCUUAGCACCGAAAACGGCCACCACAAUUGCAUCUGCGUACGCCGCACCACCACUCUCCGGCGGCUGUGAAUCGCCCCGACACUCACCACCGUAUCACCCCCGUCUGAAACAUACCGCCUCACCAUCAUUGCAUUCCUUAGUGGCCAUAUUUGUUUCGCAUGAACACCACCGUCGCACCGCCCAUACGCGAGUCCGUCGCAACAGCUUUUCAGUCGUCGCUGUCGCAUUCGGCCAUUGUAUGACUCCGCCUAGUUUAACACGUUUUCGCCCCGAGACUGCUGCAACUUCACCACCGCCGCCUGACCGUCUUCGGUUUUGCCCACAACUGACGUCGCUCUAAUAUGUGAUGUAUAUCAGAUCGGUUCGAUCAGGUAAUAUGGGAUGAUCUGGGAUUUCAGUGGAGAGCGUUAGGAAGUUGCUAGUCAAGAUUCUUUAUUUCAGUAAUGUAAUAAAUGUAAUUAGGAUCUUUUAUUUAAUGCUUUGGAUUGGUUUUUAGUUUUGAUAUCUGUAAGAGUGACACGUCAGCCCUUUUCGGGUCGGGGUGU